GCUGGGCAUGGUGGUGUAUGCCCGUAAUCCCAGCUACUUGGGAGGCUGAGGCAGGAGAAUUGCUUGAACCCUGGAGGCAGAGGUUACAGUGAGCCAGAAUCGUGCCACUGCACUCCAGCCUGGGUGACAAAGUGAGAUCCUGUCUCAA
ensembl:misc_RNA Metazoa_SRP Metazoan signal recognition particle RNA